GCCUUCGUAGUGUAAUGGUCAGCACAAUCGGCGCGUAUUCGAGAGGUCCGUGGUUCGAGUCCCGGCGAGGGCA
rfam:Stegodyphus mimosarum contig5028, whole genome shotgun sequence.